GACGAACGCUGGCGGCGUGCUUAACACAUGCAAGUCGAACGAAGUGGCAAACGGGUGAGUAACGCGUAAUUAACCUGCCCUUCAGAGGGGGACAACAGUUGGAAACGACUGCUAAUACCCCAUACUGAAGGAGGGGCUUGCGUCUGAUUAGAUAGUUGGAGGGGUAACGGCACACCAAGGCGAUGAUCAGUAGCCGGUCUGGAAGGAUGAACGGCCAAAUUGGGACUGGGACACGGCCCAGACCCCUACGGGAGGCAGCAGUGGGGAAUCUUCCGCAAUGGACGAAAGUCUGACGGAGCAACGCCGCGUGAGUGAUGACGGCCUUCGGGUUGUAAAGCUCUGUUAAUCGGGACGCGGUACCGGAAUAGAAAGCCACGGCUAACUACGUGCCAGCCGCCGCGGUAAUAC
rnacentral:rRNA from 1 species